rnacentral:rRNA from 1 species
AGUGAACGCUGGCGGUAGGCCUAACACAUGCAAGUCGAACGGCAGCACAGUAAGAGCUUGCUCUUACGGGUGGCGAGUGGCGGACGGGUGAGGAAUACAUCGGAAUCUACUUUUUCGUGGGGGGUAACGUAGGGAAACUUACGCUAAUACCGCAUACGACCUACGGGUGAAAGCAGGGGAUCUUCGGACCUUGGGCGAUUUAAUGGCCCGAUGUCGGAUUAGCUAGUUGGCGGGGUAAAGGCCCACCAAGGCGACGAUCCGUAGCUGGUCUGAGAGGAUGAUCAGCCACACUGGAACUGAGACACGGUCCAGACUCCUACGGGAGGCAGCAGUGGGGAAUAUUGGACAAUGGGCGCAAGCCUGAUCCAGCCAUACCGCGUGGGUGAAGAAGGCCUUCGGGUUGUAAAGCCCUUUUGUUGGGAAAGAAAAGCAGCAGGUUAAUACCCCGCUGUUCUGACGGUACCCAAAGAAUAAGCACCGGCUAACUUCGUG